UACAGAGGGUGCAAGCGUUAAUCGGAAUUACUGGGCGUAAAGCGUGCGUAGACGGUAGCGUAAGUCGGGUGUGAAAGCCCCGGGCUCAACCUGGGAAUUGCAUUCGAGACUGCUCUGCUAGGGUGCGGAAGAGGGAAGCGGAAUUUCCGGUGUAGCGGUGAAAUGCGUAGAUAUCGGAAGGAACACCAGUGGCGAAAGCGGCUUCCUGGUCCAGCACCGACGUUCAGGCACGAAAGCGUGGGGAUCAAACAGGA
rnacentral:rRNA from 1 species